GGCUUGGUGAUGCCCUGGAUAUUGUCGC
rnacentral:piRNA from 1 species